CUGUCUACAGUGUGUUUACAUAAAUAAAUAGCGGAAAGUCUGCUUUAUCCGCAGUACAAAUCAGCUUGUGUGUUCCAACGUGAACAAAGGGAGCCUAACAGGAGGUGUCGCUUGUACUACUGAGCUCAAGAUGUGCGUAACUAGCUGCUCUUACACACCUCUCAAAAGUCUGGGGGCCUUUGAUGCUUUGGGAAGAUGAGAGAUCGCUGAACAUCUGGGAAGAAGAAGACGGAAAGUUUCCGCACAAGAGAACCGCUGUUGAAAGGAUUUCAGGAACCUCCACCCCCUCAGAUCCUUCAGGAGAGCUGUUUCUUCGGCAUCAUUUUGCAGGUUUAUGGAAGGCUCAUGAGCGUCUCUCUCCUAGCGCGUGAAUCACGGCGCAGUCAUACCCGAGAACCGUUCCCGGUGACACCACGGUGCCACUGUUCCCCUUUCCUAGGAAUGUAAACCAAACCAAAUCCAGAGAGCCAGAUACGUCUCUACAAUUUGGAAAUCUUCCCCUUAAUUUCUUGGAGAGGGUCCUGCCACGACCUUAAAAACGGUGAAAAUA